rnacentral:misc_RNA from 1 species
GAUGAAGAACGUAGCGAAAUGCGAUAAGUAAUGCGAAUUGCAGAAUUUCCGUGAGUCAUCGAAUCUUUGAACGCACAUUGCGCCCCUUGGUAUUCCGAGGGGCAUGCCUGUUCGAGCGUCAUUAUAACCCUCAAGCUCAGCUUGGUGUUGGGGCCUGCUGCACUGGCAGCCCUUAAAAUCAGUGGCGGCGCCAUCUGGCUCUAAGCGUAGUAAUUCUUCUCGCUAUGGAGUCCUGGUGGAUGCUUGCCAUCAACCCCCAAUUUUUCUAUGGUUGACCUCGGAUCAGGUAGGGAUACCCGCUGAACUUAAGCAUAUCUAAGCGGAGGA